GCCCGCAAGGGUGAGUAAAGUGGCGUACGGGUGAGUAACACGUGGAUAAUCUACCCUCUAGUGGGGAAUACCGUUGGGAAACCGACGACAAUACCGCAUAAUCUCGAGAGAGGAAAGCAGCAAUGCGCUGGAGGAGGAGUCCGCGGCUGAUUAGCUAGUUGGUGAGGUAAUGGCUCACCAAGGCUCAGAUCAGUAGCCGGCCUGAGAGGGCACACGGCCACACUGGCACUGAAACACGGGCCAGACUCCUACGGGAGGCAGCAGUGGGGAAUCUUGCACAAUGGGGGAAACCCUGAUGCAGCGACGCCGCGUGAGCGAUGAAGCCCUUCGGGGUGUAAAGCUCUUUCGGCAGGGAAGAUUAUGACGGUACCUGCAGAAGCAGCUGCGGCUAACUACGUGCCAGCAGCCGCGGUAAUACGUAGGCAGCAAGCGUUGUUCGGAGUUACUGGGCGUAAAGGGUGUGUAGGCGGUUGGAUAAGUGUGGUGUGAAAUCUCCCGGCUUAACUGGGAGGGUGCGCUACAAACUGUCUGACUAGAGUGUGGGAUGGGAGAGUGGAAUUCCUGGUGUAGCGGUGAAAUGCGUAGAUAUCAGGAGGAACACCGGUGGUGUAGACGGCUCUCUGGACCAUAACUGACGCUGAGACACGAAAGCGUGGGUAGCAAACAGGAUUAGAUACCCUGGUAGUCCACGCCCUAAACGAUGCAUAUUUGGUGUGGGUCAUUCAUUUGAUCCGUGCCGGAGCUAACGCGUUAAAUAUGC
rnacentral:rRNA from 1 species